CUCUACAGUUUCAAGUUGCUGUACUUCAUUCUCUCCCUUCUUAUGGCUCAUUCAGAGGGCUGAAAACCAAGCAUCUUCAGAAUCACUAUUUCUCUUCCUUUCUAGUAACUGUCUGGUAUUCUACUUGGUCAAAGUGGAUUUUAAAGAUGGAGAACUACAAUCAACUGUUCGUGGAGGGCUGACAUCUCUGAGACAAGUCAUCACAAAACUGGUAAUAGGGAUGACAAGCAUCUGACAACAGCUGGAUUUGUAUGCAAGUAUGGAAACCCCCAUCGUUAGUUUUACCCACGUUCCCUAUGGAAAAACUAUCAGCUGUUUCCACAUAAUCCCUAUGUACACGCCAGACAGAAAGGAUGUGGUCUAUGUUGGUCGAAUCUCCUAAACAGCAAUUUCAAGUACUCUCACAAGGAAGAAGUCACUGGAUAUGCUGCUGUUGUUGGCCAAGGAGGUAUCCCUGCUACAUCCGUGCAGCAUGAUGCACUCUUUUAAAAUAGCAUUUCACCUGUUGCCGAA